rnacentral:rRNA from 1 species
CCUACGGGUGGCAGCAGUGGGGAAUAUUGGACAAUGGGGGGAACCCUGAUCCAGCCAUGCCGCGUGUGUGAAGAAGGCCCUCGGGUUGUAAAGCACUUUCAGUGAGGAAGAACGCCUGGUGGUUAAUACCCAUCAGGAAAGACAUCACUCACAGAAGAAGCACCGGCUAACUCCGUGCCAGCAGCCGCGGUAAUACGGAGGGUGCGAGCGUUAAUCGGAAUUACUGGGCGUAAAGCGCGCGUAGGUGGCUUGAUAAGCCGGUUGUGAAAGCCCCGGGCUCAACCUGGGAACGGCAUCCGGAACUGUCAAGCUAGAAUGCAGGAGAGGAAGGUAGAAUUCCCGGUGUAGCGGUGAAAUGCGUAGAGAUCGGGAGGAAUACCAGUGGCGAAGGCGGCCUUCUGGACUGACACUGACACUGAGGUGCGAAAGCGUGGGUAGCAAACAGGAUUAGAUACCCGAGUAGUC